rnacentral:lncRNA from 1 species
UUACUACAAUAAUGCAAUAGGUUAGUAAAAAUUAAAACCUAUAAUAAUUUAAACAAGAAUGACACACGCGUAAAGAAUCAAUAAGAAUAUCACCUAAACCUAAUAAAGAUCCUACCAAAAUAAAAGAAGAUCACACCCACUGGCUCACACCACCACUGCAUAAGGUCAUCAAGCUCACGGUACUGUAAGCUACAAACAGUCACUUACAUAUGAUAGCACCCAUAUGUUUAAAUCUUAUGGCAUGAUAUUCUCAUUCCAAUAACAAACUAAAAAAUAUUUUCUCAAACAUGUAAAGUCUUUCCAAAGACAAAUCUAAAUUG